rnacentral:rRNA from 1 species
GAUGAACGCUGACAGAAUGCUUAACACAUGCAAGUCUUUGGUGAAGCUGUGCUUGCACAGCCUAGCCAAGGCGGACGGGUGAGUAACGCGUAAGGAACUUGCCCUGCAGUCAGGGAUAACAGACGGAAACGACUGAUAAGACCUGGUAAAGUCAGGCGGACUCAUGUCCAGCCUGAUGAAAAGAGAUGCUGCAGGAGAGCCUUGCGUCCUAUUAGCUUGUUGGUGGGGUAACGGCCCACCAAGGCAAUGAUAGGUAGCCGGCCUGAGAGGGUGGACGGCCACAAGGGGACUGAGAUACGGCCCUUACGCCUACGGGAGGCAGCAGUGGGGAAUAUUGGACAAUGGGGGCAACCCUGAUCCAGCAAUUCUGUGUGCACGAUGAAGGUUUUCGGAGUGUAAAGUGCUUUCAGCAGGGAAGAAAAAAAUGACGGUACCUGCAGAAGAAGCGACGGCUAAAUACGUG